AUAUUGAUCUGCAAGUGAUUGAACACCAUGUGGAUGUUAGUGAUGAAAGUAUGGGAUUUCACAAGCACGAGAAAAAGAUGAAGGAUAAAUCUGAGUAUACCAACAAGAGAAAGAUCAAGACUUUUAUUCUGCAGGUUUGCAAUCACCAUAACUUCGUUUCUGAACUCUUCGAGACCCUGAUGUGAGCAUCUGGAUAAUCUUUUGACUGCGAUUUCUUCUCCAGAUGGCAUGUUCCCCUGCUUAUGCAUGUUAGUUUACAAGUAAGGCAAGUAUAUUUUUGUUGUUCGACUUCAGCUUUUUCAUUUAGUACAUUACCUUGUAAACAGGACCGAAUCCUCCAACUCCAAUCAUGUUUUCCGUGGAGAAAUUAUUUGUUGCUUGCAUAAUAGUAGCCAUUUUGAUCACAGGGAAAUUCAUAAGUCAAUGUCAUUCUGGGCUUCCAUCUGUAGGACUAAAGGGGCACAGACACCAGAUAAGGACAGAGAUGUCAUCCGGCUGCUGUUUCCUUGCUCUUGCAGUGUGGAUUUUCAAGUUUAUAGGUAAAUUCGUGGGUGAUAACUUUACAGUUACACCAUACUAAUUUACACAACACAUAUAAAAUGUACUUCAACAUUUCCUUCAAUUUCCUUCACUCCCUCUUGGUUCUACUUAAUAGCAUAUCAUGUACACACGCAUGUCAUACUAGUCAUGUCAUUAACUCAAUCAGCUUUAUAUUUAUGAUGGUUACUUUAUCACAA